rnacentral:SRP_RNA from 1 species
GCUGGGUGUAGUGGCUUGUGCCUGUGGUCCCAGCUACAUGGGAGGCUGAGGCAGGAGGAUCACUUGAGCCUGGGAGGCUGAGGCUGCGGUGAGCUGUGAUCACGCCACUGCACUCUAGCCUGGGCAAGAGACUGAGACCCUGUCUCAA